rnacentral:rRNA from 1 species
AUUGAACGCUGGCGGCAUGCUUUACACAUGCAAGUCGAGCGGCAGCGCGGGGGCAACCCUGGCGGCGAGCGGCGAACGGGUGAGUAAUGCAUCGGAACGUAUCCUCGAGUGGGGGAUAACCCAGCGAAAGUUGGGCUAAUACCGCAUGAGCUCUGAGGAGGAAAGCGGGGGACCUGCGAGGGCCUCGCGCUGGAGGAGCGGCCGAUGUCCGAUUAGCUAGUUGGUGGGGUAAAGGCUUACCAAGGCGACGAUCGGUAGCUGGUCUGAGAGGAUGAUCAGCCACACUGGGACUGAGACACGGCCCAGACUCCUACGGGAGGCAGCAGUGGGGAAUGUUGGACAAUGGGGGCAACCCUGAUCCAGCCAUGCCGCGUGAGUGAAGAAGGCCUUCGGGUUGUAAAGCUCUUUCGGACGGAACGAAAUGGGCGGGACUAAUACUCCGGUCUGAUGACGGUACCGUAAGAAGAAGCACCGGCUAACUACGUG